UUACGCCCAUAUCACAUUGAAACACCGGUUCCCGUAUGAUUACCGAAGUUAAUCAACGACAAGCCUGGUCAGUACCAAGAAGGGCGACCGCUUGGGAAUG